rnacentral:rRNA from 1 species
AUUGAACGCUGGCGGCAGGCCUAACACAUGCAAGUCGAACGGUAACAGGAGGCCGCUUGCUGCUUCGCUGACGAGUGGCGGACGGGUGAGUAAUGUCUGGGAAGCUGCCUGUUGGAGGGGGAUAACUACUGGAAACGGUAGCUACUACCGCAUAAUGUCGCAAGCCCAAAGAGGGGGACCUUCGGGCCUCUUGCCAUCGGAUGUGCCCAGAUGGGAUUAGCUUGUUGGUGGGGUAACGGCUCACCAAGGCGACGAUCCCUAGCUGGUCUGAGAGGAUGACCAGCCACACUGGGACUGAGACACGGUCCAGACUCCUACGGGAGGCAGCAGUGGGGAAUAUUGCACAAUGGGCGCAAGCCUGAUGCAGCCAUGCCGCGUGUAUGAAGAAGGCCUUCGGGUUGUAAAGUACUUUCAGCGGGGAGGAAGGGAGUAAAGUUAAUACCUUUGCUCAUUGACGUUACCCGCAGAAGAAGCACCGGCUAACUCCGUG